AAAAAAUUAGUUAAAUUAUAUAAUAUUAAAAUGUCAUUUUAAAGUUAUUGAAUUGAUUAGUAUUUUUUU
rnacentral:tRNA from 1 species